rnacentral:rRNA from 1 species
ACGGUAACAGGAAGAAGCUUGCUUCUUUGCUGACGAGUGGCGGACGGGUGAGUAAUGUCUGGGAAACUGCCUGAUGGAGGGGGAUAACUACUGGAAACGGUAGCUAAUACCGCAUAACGUCGCAAGACCAAAGAGGGGGACCUUCGGGCCUCUUGCCAUCGGAUGUGCCCAGAUGGGAUUAGCUAGUAGGUGGGGUAACGGCUCACCUAGGCGACGAUCCCUAGCUGGUCUGAGAGGAUGACCAGCCACACUGGAACUGAGACACGGUCCAGACUCCUACGGGAGGCAGCAGUGGGGAAUAUUGCACAAUGGGCGCAAGCCUGAUGCAGCCAUGCCGCGUGUAUGAAGAAGGCCUUCGGGUUGUAAAGUACUUUCAGCGGGGAGGAA